rnacentral:pre_miRNA from 1 species
AGCUUGACAGCGGGCAACGGAAUCCCAAAAGCAGCUGUUGUCUCCAGAGCAUUCCAGCUGCAAUUGGAUUUCGUUCCCUGCUCUCCUGCCU